AUCGAACCCUACUUGAUAUAACCUUAGCUUAUCUAACCCUAGUUGAUCGAACCCUACUCCAUCUAACCCUAUUUUAUUUUCACCCAUUUUAACCAUUUGUGGCAGAAAAAAACGUACGCAUGAAAUCAGAUGUAAAUAGUGACUACCCAAAAGUUUUUAACAAAAACAAGAAUGACAUACUGGGUACAGUGGAUAUAUUAGCUACACCCCGGAAUGGUGUACUUGUCAAUGAGAACGAGUUAUUUGUAUCAUGUUUUGUUAACAACGUUUUAUAUGCAAAAAGUGAUUUUGUUUAUAAGCGUACAGAUUUCAAAUUACCAACACUCAACAUAUUAGAUGCAGAAAAAAAAAACAUAUUACAACUUCUAGAUUUAGAUGAACGGAUUUUUAAAACCCCAGAAAACAUUUUUUUUCCAUCAAAAGAUUUCAGUUUAUUUCUGAAAAUGUUUAAAAAAAAUAAUUCAGAUUUAGUAUAUGGUUUGGAUGUGGAAAACGUGUCGAAGAUGCUAAUAAAUAAAUAUACGACUUAUAUGAACGAAAAUGUUUUAAACAAAAAAGUAGAAUUUACAAGUGACAUAAAAAAUACAUUGGACAAUGGAUAUAACCACUUCAUGGAGCAACGUGAUAACUGGUACAACUGCAGAGAACUAAUUGAAGAUAUAGAAACGAAUAGAAAACAAUCUAAAAAGAUAGAAGAGUUUGUUUUAGGAGUUUGUGCAUGUACUAAAACGAUCAUUUAUAAUGAGAAAUAUUCGAAUAACUCAAUAAAAGAAUAUAAAGAGAAAAGUUUUAAAAAAGAUAAUAAGCAAAACGUGUAUCAUGAGGAAUUUAACAUCGAUUGUGAUAUGGAAAAAGAUUUUUACGAUACAUGUAUAAAUUAUAUUGAAUAUGAAGAUAUAUGUUUAUAUAACACUAUACGAACAAUAGGAUACUCAAUGUAUUGUUAUAAAAACAAUAUAUUUUUUUAUAAUUUAAAAAAAAAAAGCUAAAAAAUAUUAUUUGAUUGGUUUUCAUGACUUUUUAAGUAGUAAUAAAUUUAUUAUGUGUAUAUUAAAAAAAAAAAAA
rnacentral:lncRNA from 1 species